GACGUAGGGCGCGAGCGUUGUCCGGAUUUAUUGGGCGUAAAGAGCUCGUAGGCGGCUUGUCGCGUCGUCUGUGAAAUCCCGCGGCUCAACUGCGGGUCUGCAGGCGAUACGGGCAGGCUAGAGUUCGGUAGGGGAGACUGGAAUUCCCGGUGUAGUGGUGAAAUGCGUAGAUAUCGGGAGGAACACCAGUGGCGAAGGCGACUACCUGGCCUGUUCUUGACGCUGAGGCGCGAAAGCUAGGGGAGCAAACGGG
rnacentral:rRNA from 1 species